rnacentral:tRNA from 1 species
UCCUCGAUAGCUCAGAUGGUAGAGCAUCGGACUGUUAAUCCGCAGGUCCCUGGUUCGAGUCCAGGUCGAGGAGCCA